rnacentral:rRNA from 1 species
CCUACGGGAGGCAGCAGUGAGGAAUAUUGGUCAAUGGACGAGAGUCUGAACCAGCCAAGUAGCGUGAAGGAUGACUGCCCUAUGGGUUGUAAACUUCUUUUAUAUGGGAAUAAAAUGUUCCACGUGUGGGAUUUUGUAUGUACCAUAUGAAUAAGGAUCGGCUAACUCCGUGCCAGCAGCCGCGGUAAUACGGAGGAUCCGAGCGUUAUACGGAUUUAUUGGGUUUAAAGGGAGCGUAGGUGGAUUGUUAAGUCAGUUGUGAAAGUUUGCGGCUCAACGGUAAAAUUGCAGUUGAAACUGGCAGUCUUGAGUACAGUAGAGGUGGGCGGAAUUCGUGGUGUAGCGGUGAAAUGCUUAGAUAUCACGAAGAACUCCGAUUGCGAAGGCAGUUCACUGGACUGCAACUGACACUGAGGCUCGAAAGUGUGGGUAUCAAACAGGAUUAGAUACCCCUGUAGUC